GAAAUGCUUUAAAUCAUCAGACUCUUCUUCGUUGGCCACCGUUACUUUUUUUUUCAUUUCCAGAAAAUAGCUGCUCCUUUACCCUGUCUAAUUGGUACGAUCUCCUCGCCUGGAUCUCUGCUGCUCUUAAAGAACAGUUUUCAAACCCCAGUGUAAACCUGCCAGCCAUGGCUCCUUUCUCUCCCGCAUAGGUUAGUGAAUUGUUUGUAAAUGCUGGGGCACGACUUCUGUGCUGAGUAAACAUCCUGUUCGUCUGUGGGUAAUUAAACCCCAAAGACUAUUUACUUUUCUGAGGUGUUAUGUAUUUGUUCUAACUGCUUCUUUGUGAACUUGGGUCAUUUAAAGCUCUUAAUGUAAUUAAUCACUAAGCUGUCUUGCAUCAAAAGCCCCCAGCUUUUGGGGGCUGGAGAAGUAAUGCUGUCAGACUGGCUACAGCCAGUUGGGAGGGAGAGCACAGGUACAGAAAAAAGAAACAAAGUUUGAGAAAAACAAGAGGUACCAAAUGGAAAAAAAUCCACACCAAUUAAAUUAGAAAUCAGUCUGAAAGUAAUGAAGUAACAGUACAGAUCUGAAAUGCUAGCACAUUUUGUUAUUUAGAAUUUCAAGGCAUUUCUGAACAGACCAGUGAAAGCAGAAUAAACAUCACUUUUACUGUUAUUUGGGAGAUAAUAAGCAAGUUGUCACGUCUAAAGAAUCACAAAGAAUGGUGCUUAUUGUCUUCAUGCUUUGAAAUGCUCCACUUUAAAUCACAGGUGCUCCCAUUUAUAAAAGCUUAGAGUCUCACAAUCAUGAGAAUGUGGCUUGCAUGGAAAGCUUCAAUUAAAUGCAAGCAUUUAUAUACAGGUAAUUUGUUUUCUCACCAGCCACAGACCUGCUGACUGGGAAGGCUGAAAAAAUGCUCACCACUGCAAGAAAUAAUCACUGUAGCUAAGUUUUAAAUGUAAUAGCAAAAGAAAUCUCAGUUUCCUCAGGGAGGAGGCAGUCACCUGCAAAGUCUGAUGACAAACAGAAUAACAGCAUGAAACUGAAAUGAAAGAUUUAGCACAAAUCAGCAAAGGUCUAGGUAGUGCUAGGCACUGAGCGACCUGUCUGUUAGCUGCUCUGACAGACUGUGAUGUCUGUCAGAUGUGAUGACACACUGGGAGUGUGUCUUCAGAAGCAAACAUCCUAUUACACUGCUUCUUAGCUGGCAUAAUCCAAGCCCUGCUCGGUGCUUGCAGAAGAGCUGUGAAAUAGCCUGUUUCCACAAAGCACUUAUCAACACUUGCACAGGGAGAGCUUGGCUUUAAAUCCUCUGCUCUAGCUUUUUGUUUAUUCAUUUUUUAACUACCCACAGAGCCAAGUCUUUGCUACAACUGACAAGGUUUCACUUUGCAAAUCAAUGAGUGCUACAAGGGCAGAAGAGUCUUGUAGUGAACUUCAUAUUGUUCAGAGCUGCCAAGUUGGUGCCCCCGACUGACCUCUGUCUUCGUGGCACUAAUAUGUGCUUAAAUGCCUGAACCCCCCUGUGGCUCUAACCACAUACCCAGACUGUUCCUUAUUGGGACCUUCUGGGGUAGUUCAGGCUGCAACCAGCAGUAAGUUGCAGAAAUGUGUCCAAGUGCAAUCAUCACUUUCCAGCCCCAGCUUUUCCUCUGGGAACUGUCUCCUGUUUGGAGGUAAGUGCUUCCAAGGCAGUGAAAAUGAGGGCUGAUUGGUCUGUCCUCAGGAGUGGAGGGGCCAGGGAGGUUGACAUCAAUGGGACAAAGAUGAGGGCUUUGUCUUAAGUGGCCUGAGUCAUGGUAUUACUGGAAGGGGUGAAUGUGGCAUCAUCCCUGCUUGGUAAUAGGCUGAGAGUCUAAUGGAGGAAAAAAUUGUCAAGUGUAUUAAGAUGUGGUCAGAGUGUAAGUCAAUCAACGAAAAUUACAGCCACCUAGGUUAUUAAAUUAACAUGAGAUUGUCAAUAGGAAAUAUAGAUUGCUUUUGAAUAAUUUUAAAUUAUUUACAGCAUGGUAAUAAUGAAAAUCUCACAGUCUGCAUAAUGCAAAACUUAGUGUUUGGUUUUUUUUACUGUUUGAGGGUUUUUAAAUAUUUUUGUUUCAACUUCAUGAUCAUUAAAGGAACAGGAGCUUAAAGAGGAAGACGUUAUUUAGAAAUGCCAAAAGCUGGUAUGAGGCAAAAGUUCAGAGGUGGCUGGAGAUUAACUGUGAUUCUACAGUGUGAUCCAAGGCAGAGAUGAAAUCAGGUAAAGCCAAAUGUGUCUAAAUGCAGUCCUUGCACACAAAGUGACAGAUCAAAUUUUCUAACCCCUGAUUGUGCCCAGAUUACCCUUCAGGUGAUCAAGUCUAGAUGGCCUGGAUUGCUUCAAUUACUUUGGCCAUUAAUGACAAUACUUUUCACAAGCAAAUUGGGCCUGCUGUGACUGAUCCUCCUAUAACUCUUAUGACCUGUGGCCACUGCCACUUGAGCUGUGGCCUCCAGGUAAGAAUUUAGCAUUUUGCCCUGCCCUAGACUCCUGGAAAUUCCUGCAGAUAGACAAAGAGAACAGGAGUGAACUACCUCUCUGGCUGCAAUUUCCAAACAGAUUUGGUCAAGAGAGCUCAACCCUGACUCGGACUAGGAGAACAAAUGUAAACGUACUUAGAGCAUGCGUGUGCAGUCUUGAAAAACUUGUUCCACCCGCAGGUGCUGAGCCUGUAACAGCCUCCAGACAAUCUGUGCCCCCUGGCUGGAAGUCAGAGACCUUAAGGGAGCAGAGAGGGGAAAUAUGCAGACUUAUGAAGAGAGAUUCAUAUUUCUCCCAGGGACCUCGGGGACUAGUUGAUCUCUGCAGAAGGAUGAGAACUGCACUGAGAGUCCUGUUUAAGAAAAGAGGAAACAGAAAGCCUGGACAUCGUGUGUUUUCUUGCAAUAUUGUCCUGGACAGUUUCCAAUCUGUUAAUGAAUGAACACUGACAUCUAAACCAUCCCCAAGGGAGGUUCAAGAUCCAUCUGAGUUCAGUAAGAGGUUUCUAAAUAGCUGUAACAAGCCCAUACUUCAAAAGAAAUACAUUUUGCUAUUUUUAAAAUGUGAGUUUGGGAAGGUUUUGAAUAUCAAGAUUAAUUAUCUGUCUAAAUGCAGGAGAAGGCAGCAGUGACUGGUGAACCUCUCUCAGAUCAGGAAGAUUUUAGUAUUGCUGGGAAUCUGGAUUUGAUGUUCUAAAAGCUUAAAGUAUAAUUGUGUCUAGUUCACUUUUUUUCCCAGAGCAGACUGUGCAUGUACUUAUCAGAUUCCUUAGUAUCUCACUGGUUUUAUGUAAAAAAAACAUUGCAUUAUCUAUCAGCACUAGAAAUUUUGACUCAGGGAUUCUGGUUGGGUAGAUUACUGAGCAGUGUUCAAUUAAAAGAUCUAAUGAUACUCUCAACAUGUGAUUCACUCUUGAACAAGAGGGAACAGCUCCUGUAUAUGACAAAACCCAAGGUCAUAGGGAGCCAGAUGUUGCCCUGCACAGUGUGAUGCUGUUUGCAGUAGGCAGCAAUGUAAGAUGGCUGUGGAAGCUGAGUAGAAGGGUCAGGGCAGCUGGGCAGGUUUGGAGACUGGGCUAUGCACCAGGUCACUAAAAUUAAAAAGUAAAGCUGAGCAAAAUUUUCUCAGUGCCUUACAUUAGACAUCUACCCUGGAUGUCUGAGCUAAAAGGCUACUCUGCUCUCUGGUACAGUCACUGAGUGUCCUGUUCAGAACUGCCCCUCGGAGGUGCCUGUCCCUUUUCACUGCCUAUACUAGGUAGUCUAAGGAGCCACCUGAGCAAUUAGCACAGUGAGAUGUUAUUUAAUAUGUCUCUGUGCUGAGGUCUUCAUUCUAAAGUGCUGUACAGUUAAUGUUAUUGGACAGAAGGAGAAUGCAAAGUCCAGAACAAGAAUUCAGCUGUGGAGGCACUGAGGGCAUUUGGCUUUGGAGGCUGGGUCCAAACCUGUUAGAGAAAUGGGCCAGGAUGGAGCUGUCACUGCUGUUUGUUCCGUUGUAGGGAGAGAAAGGAAGGAUUGAAUCUUGGCUGGGAUUAUUUUGUGUGAAUGGACAAGUACUGAGUGCUCUGUCAGAGGCAGUUCUUUAACAUGGGAAAACAUCAGUCCUGUGUUUGCUUUCAAAGCUGCGCUUGUUUGCUCUGGGGUGUAACUGCACCUUCCUAUUCUCAUUAAGUCAGCAAAGCUCAGUGUCAGACUUGCCCCAUUUAAAAGAAGACCUUGCCCCUGUUUUAUCCCAAAAUGCUGGACUGACUGGCACAGGCAUUUUGAUUUAUUCUAGGAUAUGUGUCACAAUGCUGCUGCCACUCAGUUAAAGUUUGCUUAUUAUUGUCACAGGGACUGCAGCUCCCAACACCUUGGUGCAGUUCAUGUAAAUAAAGGCUCUAACAACAUUCAAGUUUGAAACUGCACAACAGCCUAAGUGAUAUCAGCCUUGCAAAAACAAUGCAUGUUUACACCUUCAAGAACAUGGUAAAUUACUUGCCCAGGGGUCCAUCUGUGGCAGUUCUCCAUCUCAGCUGGAGAAACCAGUCUCUUCAGUGUUUUAACCCUCUUUGAUAACUAAGAAUUCACUUCAUGCAGCAAUUUCUGAUGCAGGUAUCCCUUAAUUCCUGGAUCAGAUGUUAAUGCUGUCAGAACAAAGACAUCUAAGCAAGAUUAUGCUAUUUUUAUGAUGGUGCUGAAGUUUUGACCUCAUGCCAGCAUGACCCAGGAAUAAUUCCCAUUAAGUCUAUUGAUGCGAGUCUUUCCUUGAAGGGGACACUCAGGAAACCUUACGUGAAUUAUCUUUCAAAGUAGAUUAGUUAAAUUCUAUUAAACCCUAUGCAGAUAGUCAUAUUCAGAAUUAAGUGGCAUUAAUCUGAUUUAUUGUAGUUCACUCCGAAACUGAAGAAAGCUAAAUCAAAUGAGGGCCACUCGAAUUCUGAGCAACAGCCCUCACACCAGACUCCAGAGUAACUUCAGUAAACACUUUCAGUUCGCACUCAUCAGGAAUUUGGAUUAAUUUUUCUGACUUUUCCUGUAAAGACAUGGGAUUACAGUUAUCAAGAGAUAACCUGAUCAUAUGUUCUGCUUCUCUUCGACCCCUAUCCCCCAAAAACACUGUGGACCUAGCUCCUCCUGAACAUUGGACAGUUGGUUUGGAGUUCUGGAUUUGAAGAUUGCUGUUAAUUUGUAGUCUUUAGUCAACGGUCUUUUCUCUUUAUUAAUCGUUAAUAUUAAUCACAUCAGUGUGGAACUUGAGCAUCUGUCCAGGCAAGAACAGAAGGUUAUUGCUGGCUGGUGUUAAUGUUCCUGUGGUAGAGCUGUGCAUGUGGAAGAGCUGCAGUCUAUGUGCCUGGUUUAAAUAUGUAGCUUCAGCUGUUCUAUAUCCGUAGAACUAAAUUUACUUGUAGAUUUAAAAUAGGUGAAUGAUUUGGCCGCUAAAAGGUCAGGACACGUUCUGUUUAUUUUGUGCUUUGCUUUUCUUGAUUAAUAGAAAAUUGUCUGUCGCGUCUGAUAUUAUUUUCAAGGAUUUCUGGUGCAAUGCCUGUGCAGACAAAAUGUAGGACAGUGCCAAUGUACCCCCUACAUCUCCCCUGCUUUGUAUUUUGUCACAGUUGCACUCUGGAGUACUCCAGCACUCAGCCAGCAUACAUUCUAACUCACAAGGUCCCUGUGGAGGGAGGGGUAUUGACUUCUCUAUCAUGUGCAGAUCAAAUUUCAGGCUUUUAGAGUUUUGUGCAUUUGCCAGGUACACUGAAAUACAGAUACCAGCUCUUGCAACCUUCAUGUGACUUUGGCAGCAUGCACGUGGCUGUUCUGCAUGGCUCACACUCAGCUCUUCCCCAGAGAUGGGUGGCACUGCUGCUGGAAGUUUGCACCAGCCAUUUUCCCUAUCAGGCUUCAGCACUGAUGAGGGAUUAGCCUUUGUGAGAAGCACCAAGAAGGCUUUGCAGUCCUGAGAGAAACCAGGGAAAAUUCACAGCAUGCAAACUGUUUGAUCUAGGCUGCACUGCUAAGCACCUUCCCUGGGAACAGGUCUGCCUCUGGGUGUCACCUUGGCAGCAUGGUUCUAGCUCUGCAGGCCCAAGUGGCCUUGUUUUAGCUUGAUCUGUGCAUCCACUUGUCCUCCUGACAGCCAGAAGAGAGGCCUGUGCUGCUGCCCUUCUACCAGUACAUCAGCCCACAGUUGCAGGGGAGAUAGGUGGAAGUUAGAACCUCCUCUGGCUCUGGAAACGUGUCUUCUCUGAGUGUGUGCAAGGACUUGAUGUGAGAAGUAAUACAGAGCUGUUUCUUCACAGGUACUUGGAAGCCUAGAGAUCUUUAAUAAAGUAAAAAAAUAAAUAAAUAAAAAAAAAUGGAGAGAGAAAAAAAGAGAUCACAAGGACAAAUGAGGAGGAGAGGAUCUAUCCUCAGCUUUAAAAAUGAGGGAACAAUACAAAAAACCAGCACAGAAUAAUGUAGUUUAGCACAGGAAGCAACAAGAGCUCAGAGCUUCUGCAGAUGCCAGGGGGCUAAAGAAGCAGAGCUAGCUGGAGAGGCUCAGAGCUGGCUGGGGCUAUGACCUGGCUGUGCUCCUUUUUGCCUGUGAGAAGCCAGGCAGCAGCACUGCUGCUCAGGGGCUGGCAUCAGGGGGUGGGAAGUGAUGGGCUGGAGACCAAGAUUUGCAACUUAAAGAGUCAGGUCCAGGGUGUAGCUCAUUCUCCCUCUGGUACCGGGAAGCCACUGGGCAGGGAGAGAACUGGGAGGUGCUGAGGUCACCCUUGUUCAGUGUUUGACAAGCAGAAGAUUGGCUGACAAGCAGAAGACAGGCUGAGAAGCACUGUGGAAGGAGGGUAGCAUUCAGGAAGCUCAUACUCUCCUCUGUACCCAUAGCCAGAACCAGCUGAAGCCCACUGGGAAGCUUUGGCCUUCUGAGUGCUUGCUGGGUUGCUGUACACAUUGAGUGGGCUGAGGGCCUGUUUGUUUGUUCUGGGGUAAGACUCUUCCCAUUGUGCUUAAUACUGAACAGAUAACAAACAAAAUAGCAGGAAGGCUGUUCUCACACACA